GGAAGUAAAAGUCGUAACAAAGUUUCCGUAGGUGAACCUGCGGAAGGAUCAUUAUUGUAUAACCGAGGUGCGAGGGCUGUCGCUGACCCGAAAGGUCGUGCACGCCCGAGUGCCCUCACACGCAUCCAUCUCACCCCUAUGUGCACCACCGCGUGGGUCCCCCUUUGGCUUGUUCGGAGGGGGGCUUACGUUUUCACACAAACUUUGUAUGCAGUGUAGAAUGUAUUUUUUGUUUUUGCGAUCACGCAAUCAAUACAACUUUCAACAACGGAUCUCUUGGCUCUC
rnacentral:misc_RNA from 1 species